GUUUUCUUGCAGAGAUGAUAAAAGGCUGCUGCCUUCUGCUGCUUCUCAGCGACUUAUGCAGAACAGUUAGCAGUGAGGUGGUGCUGGAACAAGGUGCCCAGGCCUUGGCAGUCCGGGAGGGCGAAGAAGUGACCUUCCAGUGCCGUGUGACGGGAGGGGAGAUGAGCAGCUACUGGAUGUACUGGUACAGAAAGGGGCAGCAGGGCCCCUUGACCUGGAUUUACCGAGAAGGGGACCACUAUGGAGAAGGCUUCCAGGGCCGCUUCGUAGGGAAAGUUGAUAGCUCCAAAGACAGGUUCACCCUCAGGAUCCUGAGUGCAGAGCUGGGAGACAGGGCGAUGUAUUACUGCGCUUCCAGUCCCCACGGUGCCACAGCUGUGCUGCGGGGCAGAGCAAAAACUGACAGGGCUGCGGGGUAGGGGGUAUCGCUUGCAAACCACGGACCACGGCCAGCCCUGGGGCACAAGUGG